UUCUUACUAUUAUCAACUCCAACGGUGUUUCAGGCUGACCAGAAGCUACGUGUUUGUGACAAUUUCUGGAGCAUUUAUGACAGUGACCAUCGCUUAGCAGAUCAUUUUGGAGGGAAGCUUCAUUUAGGUUAUAUGCAAAUCCGCGAUAAACUGGCAGAGCUUCAGGCGACAUGACUGGUACUAGAUUAUCGUGCUUGAGCAGCAGAUGGAAAUGGACAUGUGUUCUGGUCUAGGUCAGUGAACUUGUGUAGGCAAAGUAUGAUGAUCUUGUGUGAUUUUUCUGAUACUUUUAGUGAGUUUGGCAGUUCUAAUGUUAUGGUGGACGUAACAACUGCUUCGAAGAUUUUGUUGAAUUAUGUUUGAGAGGUAUGCAUUACAACUGUUUUAGUAUUACUUUUAUGUCUCGGAGUUUCCUUGAA